rnacentral:lncRNA from 1 species
GCUAUAAUAUCAGCCAUGCCCGCCUGUGUCGUUCGCCUCGUUGGUGUCGAACGGCACAUGGUGUCAUCACAAUCGUACUUGCAUGGUUGGUGUAGCUUGGAUUGCUUGGGACUUCUUCGGCAGCAUCGUCGUGGUACGCGUAGAGGUUGAUCAUGGUGGGGUUGUACUUAGUUGAUGAAGACUUGCAUCCGGUAUGGUAGAUGUAUUUGAUCCUAGUCUCGCUUGCUUUCUGUCACAGGCCCUGCUGAUCUCAUCAGACGGUGCGUAGUGUCGUAGUAGUCCGGGUAGCUCUCUGUAGUCGGCUAAUGGGGCUCUGAAUAUUCCGACAGCUACACAUAAAAUAAAAUAAAAUAAAAUAAAUUUGAUUCAAGGC